CUUACCCCAAACCGACACAGGUGGACUAGCAGAGUAUGCUGAGGCGCUUGAGAGAAGUAUGCUGAAGGAACUAGGCAAUUUGCCCUCGUAACUUCGGAAGAAGAGGGCCCAACCUACGCGCAAGCGUUGAUUGGGGGCACAGAGCAGGGGGUAGCGACUGUUUACUAAAAACACAGGACUCUGCGAAAUCCAAAGAUGACGUAUAGGGUCUGACGCCUGCCCGGUGCCGGAAGGUUAAGAGGAGAUGUGAAAGCGUCGAAUCGAAGCCCCGGUAAACGGCGGCCGUAACAAUAACGGUCCUAAGGUAGCGAAAUUCCUUGUCGGGUAAGUUCCGACCUGCACGAAAGGCGUAACGACUUCCCCACUGUCUCCAGCAUAUGCUCAGCGAAGUUGAAUUCCCCGUGAAGAUGCGGGGUACCCGCGGUCAGACGGAAAGACCCCGUGCACCUUUACUGCAGCUUUGCACUGGCAUUAGGGAUGGAUUGCGUAGGAUAGGUGGUAGGCUUUGAAGUCUAGGCUCUGGCUUGGAUGGAGCCACCCUUGGAAUACCACCCUGUUUGUUCCUGAUGUCUAACCGCGAUUCGAAACAGGGUCCGGAACCAUGCAUGGCGGGCAGUUUGACUGGGGCGGUCGCCUCCCAAAGAGUAACGGAGGCGCGCAAUGGUAAGCUCAGGCCGGUCGGAAAUCGGCUGUUGAGUGCAAUGGCACAAGCUUGCCUGACUGCGAGGCUGACAAGCCAAGCAGAGUCGAAAGACGGUCAUAGUGAUCCGGUGGUCCCGCGUGGAAGGGCCAUCACUCAACGGAUAAAAGGUACGCCGGGGAUAACAGGCUGAUGAUCCCCAAGAGUCCAUAUCGACGGGAUCGUUUGGCACCUCGAUGUCGGCUCAUCACAUCCUGGGGCUGGAGCAGGUCCCAAGGGUAUGGCUGUUCGCCAUUUAAAGUGGUACGUGAGCUGGGUUUAGAACGUCGUGAGACAGUUCGGUCCCUAUCUGUCGUGGGUGUUCGAGACUUGAGAGGAUUUCUUCCUAGUACGAGAGGACCGGAAGGAACGCACCUCUGGUGGAUCGGUUGUCGCGCCAGCGGCACUGCCGAGUAGCUAUGUGCGGAACAGAUAACCGCUGAAAGCAUCUAAGCGGGAAACUAACCUCAAAACCAGGUCUCGCUGAGAGCCGUGGAUGACUACCACGUUGAUAGGCUGGGCGUGUAAGCGCAGCAAUGCGUUGAGCUUACCAGUCCUAAUCGCUC
rnacentral:rRNA from 1 species